ACGACAUCUGAGAUUCUCUGGCAACUUCUAGGGUGGCAGGUACCUUGAAGAAGAAGAUUCAAUCAGUAUCAAAUUCAGAGAAGGAAAGGAAUGAGGAUAUAACUGACCUGUUCAAUGUUAUUUUUACUUUCAAAACGUGUACGUGUUUUCAAGUGCUGACAGAGUCGAAGAUCAUAGCUCUCCCUGAAAUAAAAGUAUGUCUUGAACAAGAUUCCAAAUGUAUUCCAAACUGUAUAGAUAUCCUAAUGGUUAAUACAUUGUAAAUACAAGAUUGCCACAUCAAGCAGUGAUCAUACCCAUGAUGUAAAUUAUACAACGACGUUUGCAUAAUACAUUGCGUGUAAGGAUGUGACCAUUUAUAGCCAUCUGCUUGCAGCCUCUCUAGUUGCAGUCUCAAUUGCUCCAGUUCGUUGAUGUCAAAGUUAUAUCUGUAAACAGAGAAAUGUCAGUAACAAAAUAGUGAGGAGCUUGCUUUCACGAAGUGGAAAUGCACGGUUCUCAUAAAACAACUCUAAGUAGUAUAGUCAUUUUAUGAUCAGACAGUAAAAGAGAAGAGUGCUUGUAUUGGAUGUCAUCAAUUAUUACUCUGUACUACUAAACUUGAGCAUGCAUGGUAUCUUUUAUUCAAAGAGUUUAUUUGUAUCCACCGAUACUUACUGAUAAUAGUCAUCCUCGGUUAAAUCGGUAUACACAGCAUGUUUCCGUUCGAGGAUCGCAGAGGUUCUUACUGAACAGACAUCCUGAAACAUACAUCAAAAGAAUUAGAAUCUUUUUGGAAAACGCAUGACAUCUGAAGAUAAAAAGCUCGUUUAAAAAGACCGCCACGAAUUGUGAUCAACAAAUAAAGGAGCAGAUAACAUAUCAGCGGAUUAAUUCAAUUAUAUGUGAAUAGUUCAACACGUCACUGAUAGGUGACGCCGAUGAAACUUUUUACAAAAAUGACGUCGGACAAAACUUGGCGGAUUAUUUAAAACAUUUAUAAAAAUAUCGAAUAGUAUUAUAAUUAUAGAAUAUUAUGUAUACCACACAAGCACAGAAAUCGUUUUCAUAUUUUUAAAUGUCUGCUCGAAUUUUAUCAAACAGCAAGUAAACUGAUCUACGAGCAAUAAGAUCUAAGGUCGAUCAGUAAAAAUCUAUAAUGUUAAUUGAUAAGGAAACGGAAGAGGGCAGUUGAAGAGAUAUACUUUUAGUGGUUGGAAUGUAGAUGGAAGCAGAUCCAAAGGGAGGAAGCAUUUGCAAAGGCGGCGGUCGCGUGGGAUGCACGGUUCGAUAGUCGUCGAAAGGUCGUGGGCGAAAAUCGAACACACUUCUCCCACCACUUUUUUCAUCGUUUAAUCCCAUCCACGAAGAAACAUCAAAUUUUCAAGGUCGCUACGAUAAAGACCUUUGAUCUGAAUGAAAGAACGAGACGAUUACGCUUUUCGACGAUGUGCUUAACAUUUUAAUGGACGUCAUUUUGUGGACUCUACAGCUCUUGCAGUUUUAUGGCUUUUCUUAUUUCUGUCGAGGGAAAAUCCUAGUGGUUCCUGAAUUCACCGUUGAUUAUAUUUAUUUUCUGAAGUUAUAUUCGAAUGUGUAAGUUCAACUUACCACGCAUUUUAUGCUUACGUCAUGUGCGUGACAAGGAAGAGUUACAUACAAUACAAAAUGAUUUAUCUUUGAACUAUAAUUAGUUAAUAUGAAUAAGUAGCAAUAAAAUAACACACCGCUUGAAAGUUUGAAAAGUUAUAAUGAAGAUGGAUUUGUUCAGAUCUUGAAAAUAAAUAAUAAAUAUAUAAUUCAUCGGGUUCUAGAGAUUAGCGUGCUAUCAAAGGAUGAAAUCUGCCGUUUGCAACGGGAAAGCGCAGGAAGCAAGGAAAUCGAUGGCAACUUUGAAUUUUCAUUGAAAGCCGCUCGACGGGAAAAGGGAUAUCGAAGAAGCGAUUGCCGUUUCGAGAGAAAUUGUACCGACGAUUUUUCAUUUCUUUUUUCUCUCUCGAUCAACGGGAACUUGUUUUUGCUACCAAAGGAAAUGGAUUGCAUGCACAAAAUGUUUAUACUCGACAUGAGCGGAUAGAAGUAUGAUGGACCUUUAGUAACACUCGCAAAGUAUUUUCUUUCACUGUUACAACUUCUGAAAAGAUAAUGGUUUAGCGAGUUUAUUCACGUUUUGAUCAAUAUGUACCAUAUUGUUUGAACUAUUUCGAGUGAAAGAAAAUUGAACACUCUUCAUUCAAUAUGCUGACU